GGGGUGCCCAAAAUUUAGAGAAAUGUAAGAAAGUUUAAUGUUGUAUGUAAACUGUGUUUGAGGGGAAGUCAGGUGUUCAGAGAGGAGUCUGUUGGAUGUUUAGCUGUUAUUUGUUUUAUGGACUCAAUGUUGAAAAUGUAAAACAUUUCAAACACUGUUGGCAGAAGUGAAAAAUAAAUAAUUUUAUGAAGUUACAAUUUUGUUUGAUUCCAUGAUGUAUUUUACUGAACAUGAGUAUUUACAAUGCAAAUCCAAAUUAUUUUAAUUUACUGUUACUUAUAUCUUGUCUUUUAACUUUAUUAAGAUCAGAUUCUGCAGGUAAAAUUACAAUAAUAAGGUGACUUGACUUGGACUUGACUUGACUUACUACAGGACUUGACUUGA